CUCAAACAGCGAAGGUUGUUGUGGCGGCGGCGACGGAAAGACGGAGAUGAUACUUACGGAGGAAGCUCUGAGGAUAGUACUCGGCAUGGGCUUCCUCCGUUAGUCAUAUCACUGCAGGAAGCGCUUGGGAAAGUGUUUGGCGGAGGAUAUUCGUGCUCCUCCUGAUACUCUACCACCAUACUAUUCUUUCAUGACGUCAUUGAAAGCUGGCGACUUUGGCUAUUCAUUGUUUGGCUGUCUCUAUGAUCUAAAAUCUGCUCUUAGUACCUGAGUAUAAAUUGGCUAUUCUCACUGUCAGUGAUACUGUCUCAGCUGGGGGCUGGACCUGAUCGAAGUGGACACAGGCUGUAUCAGUGAUUAAUUUCUCUUCAGACCUCAUUCUUACACUUGGUGGUACUGGCUUCACUCCAAGAGAAGCAAAAAAAAGAAGUGAUCGAGAGAGAAACACCCGGUCUUCUCUUUGUUAUGAUGCGAGAGAGCUUAAAGAUCACGCCAUUUGCGACGCUCUCACCCUCUGCAGCAGGAAUUAGAGAGGCUCAACAUUGAUAAUCUACCUACCUGGGAACCUAAACGCAGUAGCCGAGUGUGUGAAGGCGCUGUUACCAGCGUUGAAGCACGCCCCGAAGCAGAUCAAAGGAGACAAGAGAGAGAGAGAGAAACAUCCAAAGCAUAUGGCAGAAGCCACCGCACCACCGGCUGACACAUGGGAGCAGACGACACAAAAGAUGGUGGCUGUUCUUGUACUCACUGAAACUUCUCAGCUUCUCUGGUCAAUGAAUCAGUCCCCAAGUGAGUGUAAACACUUUUGAGAAUGUUUGUGGUUUAUUGAGUUACAUGAAACCCAACUACAUAUGGUGCGAGAAGGCAUUGUUGUAACUUGCAUGUUUUGUAAUAAGAACUGCUUGUAAAAAUAUG